CAAGGCUACGACGGGUAGCUGGUCUGAGAGGACGACCAGCCACACUGGGACUGAGACACGGCCCAGACUCCUACGGGAGGCAGCAGUGGGGAAUCUUGCGCAAUGGGCGAAAGCCUGACGCAGCAACGCCGCGUGAGGGAUGAAGGUCUUCGGGUUGUAAACCUCUUUCGAGCAGGGACGAUAGUGACGGUACCUGCAGAAGAAGCUCCGGCCAACUACGUGCCAGCAGCCGCGGUGAUACGUAGGGAGCGAGCGUUGUCCGGAUUUAUUGGGCGUAAAGAGCUCGUAGGCGGCUCAGUAAGUCAGGUGUGAAAUUCUCAGGCUCAACCUGGGGUCGCCAUCUGAUACUGCUGUGGCUAGAGCCCGGUAGGGGCCCACGGAAUUCCUGGUGUAGCGGUGAAAUGCGCAGAUAUCAGGAGGAACACCGGUGGCGAAGGCGGUGGGCUGGGCCGGAGCUGACGCUGAGGAGCGAAAGCGUGGGGAGCGAACAGGAUUAGAUACCCUGGUAGUCCACGCCGUAAACGUUGGGCACUAGGUGUGGGACCUUGUCAACGGGUUCCGUGCCGUAGCUAACGC
rnacentral:rRNA from 1 species